GACGAACGCUGGCGGCGUGCUUAACACAUGCAAGUCGAACGAUGAAGCCGGAGCUUGCUCUGGUGAAUUAGUGGCGAACGGGUGAGUAACACGUGAGUAACCUGCCCUUGACUCUGGGAUAACUGCUAGAAAUGGUAGCUAAUACCGGAUACGACCCUCGGAGGCAUCUCCAGGGGGUGGAAAGAAUUUCGGUCAAGGAUGGACUCGCAGCCUAUCAGCUAGUUGGUGAGGUGACGGCUCACCAAGGCGACGACGGGUAGCCGGCCUGAGAGGGGGACCGGCCACACUGGGACUGAGACACGGCCCAGACUCCUACGGGAGGCAGCAGUGGGGAAUAUUGCACAAUGGGCGCAAGCCUGAUGCAGCAACGCCGCGUGAGGGAUGAAGGCCUUCGGGUUGUAAACCUCUUUUAGCAGGGAAGAAGCGAAAGUGACGGUACCUGCAGAAAAAGCACCGGCUAACUACGUGCCAGCCGCCGCCGUAA
rnacentral:rRNA from 1 species